rnacentral:hammerhead_ribozyme from 1 species
AUUUAGUUAGUCCCAAAUAGGACGAAAUGCGCAUCCUGGAU